GGGGAAAUCGUCUAGUGGUAAGACACAGACUUUGCAUGUCUGCGACCGGUGUUCGAUUCACCGUUUCUCCA
rnacentral:tRNA from 1 species